GCAGUAGCCACGGGAAUACGUAGGUGGCAAGCGUUGUCCGGAAUUAUUGGGCGUAAAGGGCUCGCAGGCGGUUUCUUAAGUCUGAUGUGAAAGCCCCCGGCUCAACCGGGGAGGGUCAUUGGAAACUGGGAAACUUGAGUGCAGAAGAGGAGAGUGGAAUUCCACGUGUAGCGGUGAAAUGCGUAGAGAUGUGGAGGAACACCAGUGGCGAAGGCGACUCUCUGGUCUGUAACUGACGCUGAGGAGCGAAAGCGUGGGGAGCAAACAGGAUUAGAUACCCCCGUAGUCCCUGUCUCUUAUAC
rnacentral:rRNA from 1 species